GGCUUGUUUGUUGGACCCCACACCGAUCUUCAACCGUCGGUGGGUCCGAAAGAUAAUGGCAGAGUCGGUCGGACCCUGGAUGCAGCGAGCUCUAUUUUCAGCACGCAUCACGGCGGUCCCCGGGCUCGGUUUUAACCGGAUCUUUCGAUCCACUUCUUAUGGUUGACCUCGGAUCAGGUAGGGAUACCCGCUGAACUUAA
rnacentral:misc_RNA from 1 species